rnacentral:sRNA from 1 species
UCAACAACGGAUCUCUUGGCUCUCGCAUCGAUGAAGAACGCAGCGAAAUGCGAUAAGUAAUGUGAAUUGCAGAAUUCAGUGAAUCAUCGAAUCUUUGAACGCAACUUGCGCUCUCUGGUAUUCCGGAGAGCAUGCCUGUUUGAGUGUCAUGAAAUCUCAACCAUUAGGGUUUCUUAAUGGCUUGGAUUUGGGUGUUGCCAGUCUCUGGCUCGCCUUAAAGGAGUUAGCGAGUUUAACAAUGUCGUCUGGCGUAAUAAGUUUCGCUGGUAAGACUUGUGAAGUUUGCUUCUAAUCGUCUUCGGACAAUUACUUUGACUCUGGCCUCAAAUCAGGUAGGACUACCCGCUGAACUUAA